rnacentral:antisense_RNA from 1 species
UGUGGGCGCUGGCUUGCCUGCGAUACAGGCACCGAGGGGUUUCAGUUACACCUCGGUGAUGCUAUCGCAGGCAAGCCAGCGCCCACA